rnacentral:lncRNA from 1 species
GUGGAGGCCCUCCCGGUAGCGUGCCCAGACCCGCCAUAUCUCUACACAUAUAAGGCGUCUACAGUAAAAGCGGAAGUAAAAGCAAGAAUUACAACAACUAGGAAUGAAUAACAUCUAAUGAUAUCAGAGCGAGUAAAGUUCUAUCUUCUAAAACAAGAAUAAAGGAAACAUACUAAUCCAUAAUAGUAAAGCACAAGGUGAUACAAUACUAACUCCUCAAAAGAAAUACAUAAAUCCAAAAGAAGGGUGGUCUCUAUACAUAUACGGGUACAACUCUCAACCUCUCACAAAAUAAAACAACGAGAGGUAGACCACCUAUCGAAUCGUCCUCGAAGGAAGCUAGCUCGUAGCAACUCCCUUUCCCGCGGUCCCUAGCCACUC